rnacentral:rRNA from 1 species
GACGUAGGGCGCGAGCGUUGUCCGGAUUUAUUGGGCGUAAAGAGCUCGUAGGCGGCUUGUUGCGUCGACUGUGAAAACCCGCGGCUUAACUGCGGGCUUGCAGUUGAUACGGGCAGGCUAGAGUUCGGUAGGGGAGACUGGAAUUCCUGGUGUAGCGGUGAAAUGCGCAGAUAUCAGGAGGAACACCGGUGGCGAAGGCGGGUCUCUGGGGCCACUACUGACGCUGAGAAGCGAAAGCAUGGGGAGCGAACAGG